AAUAUGAUUCUAGCUGAAAUACGAUCUUAUGUCUGUUUUUCCUAAUUAAGGGUUAAGCUAUGUGGUAGCUAGUUGUCUAUUAGGUGACUAUAGCACCUGGUGACUUAGUUUAUGAUGUCGAUUAGUUGUUAAAUGAGAAGUGUGCAUUAAUGUGGCUAGAUAAUAAGAGAUGUUAGUGAUAAAAGAUGACUUGAUAAUAAUGAUGAAUAGUUGGUAAACGAGGAUUUGUUGGUAAACGAUGGUUAAUUAACGAAUGUUGUUGGUUAAUAAAAGAUGGUUAUAUGAUAAAUGGUAAUGUGUCAACUAAUAAUGAUUAACGGCUAUAGAUUGAUCAAUUGAUAAUGAUGAUUAGGAUAAAUGACGAUUAUGGCCUUGUGAUGAAUCUUGACUAGAUGUUAGGUAUUAGCUACUAAAUUAAUAAGGGUUAGUUGUUGUCCCAUGAAUAAGAAUUAUAUGAAGGAUAAUGUUUAGGCUAAUAAUUAGAGGUCAUGUGAAGACUAUUGAAUUAGUGGUUUAAUGAUCAUAAGCGUUGGUUAACUAAUAGAGAAUAGUUGGGAAGUAUUGACAAGCUAGAUAUUUUUAUAAUGAUACGAUUAUGAUUAUGAGUAUACUAACAAGCUUGUAGAUUUACCCUCUUUUUGCCACGUCUUGAGUCGUGCACCUAUUAUAUGUUUAUAAAUAUAUGUGUAUUGGUGUUUAUGAUUAUAUUGAUACCCGAUAAGGCCGAAGGAUAUUGUGAUGAUAUAUUGAUACUCGGCAAGGCCGGAGGAUACUGUGAUGGUAUUGAUACCCGAUAAGGCCGAAGGAUAUUGUGAUGAUAUGUUGAUACCCGGCAAGGCCGGAGGAUAUUGUUAUGAUGAUAUUGAUACCCGACAAGGUCGUAGGAUACUGUGAUGAUGUAUUGAUACCCGACAAGGCCGGAGGUUGAUUAUGCUGAUGAUGGUCAUGAUGAUGACAGUUAUUAUGGAGAUGGUUAUGAUUAUGAGAUUGUGAUACUGAUUUUGUACUUUGCAUUCAUUCAUGCAUGCGCAUCGCCUAUCACCAGUAUGCACUUAUGUGUAUCAGCCAGUAUGGGACGGUUGGAUAGAUAUGGGUGAAGAGUAUGCCUUGUGUUAUUGUAUGUUCAUUGAACCUUUCGAGUCUGGGGUGGUGGGGGUACGCAUAGGCUCGACUAGGUAUUUGGUUGUUCGGAGUAGCCGGUUAUUCACGUUGUUAUUGAUAUUGUUAUUAUCAUUGGUAUGAUCAUUAUUAUGGCUAGCUUAUGACAGAUUAGUCAUUGAUCCGAUAUCAAGAUCUUAGGUAUGUCUACGACCUCUUCUAUCUUAUGAUGGAACUAUU
rnacentral:lncRNA from 1 species